rnacentral:lncRNA from 1 species
UAAAUACACAAUUUAAAAAAUGGAAAAAGUGCAUUAAUAUUUAAAUAUCUAUUUAAAAAUAUAAAAUUUAGAUAUUACGUAAAUAAAAAUAUAAGAAAUGGAAAUAAACAUUUAAAAAAAUGGAAAAAGUACAUUAAGAUUUAAGCAUCUAUCUUAAAAUGUACUUCUAUCUUUAAAUGGUAGUAAAUUAUAUAAAAAUGGAAAUACCACAUUAAACAAAAAAAAAAUGUAUAAUUUUACAUCAAGAAAGUCCCUAUAAAACUCAUUAUUCCAUCCACAUCAACCUCACACUAUUAAGUAAAAUUUCAAAGCACUCGAGCAAAAAAAUGGUUUCACUAUCAACUCUUGCCGUCCCAAAAACCUUUAACGACAUUGAAUGAGAUUUUUUUAUAACAACAAACUUUUUGUUAGGUGGAUUCAUUGUUGGGAAACCCGCAACUUCCAAAAGCCAAACUUAUUCAUGGGAAUUGAAUUGCUUUUCAUAAACUCAAAGGUAUUCUUACAAAAAAAUGGUUUCACUAUCAACUCUUGCCGUCCCAAAAACCUUUAACGACAUUGAAUGAGAUUUUUUUAUAACAACAAACUUUUUGUUAGGUGGAUUCAUUGUUGGGAAACCC